rnacentral:rRNA from 1 species
UACGUAGGGUGCAAGCGUUGUCCGGAAUUAUUGGGCGUAAAGAGCUCGUAGGCGGUCUGUCGCGUCGGCUGUGAAAACUCGGGGCUCAACCCCGAGCUUGCAGUCGAUACGGGCAGGCUAGAGUUCGGCAGGGGAGACUGGAAUUCCUGGUGUAGCGGUGAAAUGCGCAGAUAUCAGGAGGAACACCGGUGGCGAAGGCGGGUCUCUGGGCCGAUACUGACGCUGAGGAGCGAAAGCAUGGGGAGCGAACAGG